rnacentral:rRNA from 1 species
GAUGAACGCUGGCGGCGUGCCUAAUACAUGCAAGUCGAGCGAACGGACGAGAAGCUUGCUCCUCUGAUGUUAGCGGCGGACGGGUGAGUAACACGUGGAUAACCUAUCUUUAAGAAUGAGAUAACUUAGGGAAACCGGAGCUCAUAUCGGCCGAUCUUUUGAACGGCAUGGUUCAAAAGUGAAAGACGGUCUUGCUGUAACUUAUAGAUGGAUCAGUGCUGCAUUAGCUAGUUGGUCAGGUAACGGCUUACCAAGGCAACUAUGCAUAGCCGACCUGAGAGGGUGGACGGCUACACGGGAACUGAGACUGGGCCCACACUCCGACAGUGGGCAGCAGUAGGGAAUCUUCCGCAAUGGACGAGUGCCUGACGGAGCAACACCGCGUGAGUGAUGAAGGUCUUCUGAUCGUAAAACUCUGUUAUUAGGCAAGAACAAAUGUGUAAUUAACUGUGCACAUCUUGACGGUACCUAAUCAGAAAGCCACGGCUAACUACGUG